AUUGAACGCUGGCGGCAUGCCUUACACAUGCAAGUCGAGCGGCAGCGCGGGGCAACCUGGCGGCGAGCGGCGAACGGGUGAGUAAUACAUCGGAACGUACCCAGUUGUGGGGGAUAGCCCGGCGAAAGCCGGAUUAAUACCGCAUACGACCUGAGGGUGAAAGGGGGGGAUCGCAAGACCUCUCGCAGUUGGAGCGGCCGAUGGCGGAUUAGCUAGUUGGUAGGGUAAAGGCCUACCAAGGCGACGAUCCGUAGCUGGUCUGAGAGGACGACCAGCCACACUGGAACUGAGACACGGUCCAGACUCCUACGGGAGGCAGCAGUGGGGAAUUUGGACAAUGGGGGCAACCCUGAUCCAGCCAUUCCGCGUGAGUGAAGAAGGCCUUCGGGUUGUAAAGACUCUUUCGGCAGGAACGAAACGGUGGUCCCUAAUACGGAUUGCUAAUGACGGUACCUGAAGAAGAAGCACCGGCUAACUACGUG
rnacentral:rRNA from 1 species